GCUGAGCCCCCGGGUCCGGAGGGAGACGCAGGCCCAGGAAAGAGGGCGGAGUAGCGAGUGAAGCCGGCGAGGGGUUGUCGUGAGGUUCAAAUGAGAAGGUUUGUAUGUGAGCCCCUAUGUGUGGAUUUAAAAAUAUGUACAUUUAAAAAAAAUCAUUGACUUGUGAAGCCCCGCAAGAGGCCCAGAGCGCCCCCGCAGCCGGAGCUGCUGAGACGUCUGUUCUUCGCUUCCCUCCCACUCCUGCCACCCCCAACUUCCCUCCUACUCCCUUCCGUUGAGAACUAGGAAUUUCCAGCCUUUUGCAAUUGGAGAGAGACAGAGACAAAGAGACCGAGACUAUGAGAAGCUACAGAAAAACAAAGAUAAAAGGUGGCAUGGGGGGGGGUGAUAAAAGGUGUUGCACAAAUACAAAAAUCUUAUUUCUCCUUUUUUUCUCCGUGAGCCCCAUUCUCCCCAGUGUGGAUCAGGACCCCUCCCUACCUGACUCACCUGCUUCCUCCUCCCCCAUCCGAGUGUUCUCAGAGUUUACGCAUAGCAUAUCAAGGGAUCCCAUUUAAUCAAGGAUUAAUUUAUUGUCUACACCGGUCUCUUCCAGGAAGGGAAACAGUAUCCCCAGUCCCAAUUUUCCAAGAACAGGGGGAAAGAGUGUGAAGAAGUGGGUGGAAGAGGAGUGAGGAAAUUGCUAACCAGAAGGAUUGUCAUUCCUGGGCACGUGCAGAUUUUCAUCUAGCAGAUUGCACUGCUCACAUUCCCCUCCACUACGUUUUUACCAGGCCAAAUCAAGUUCGCUCAGCAGGGUCUGGCUCAAAUGUCAUCUUCCCUCAU